AACCCUCGACCUAGUUGCCAGCAUUCAGUUGGGCACUCUAAGGUGACUGCCGGCUAAAAGUCGGAGGAAGGUGGGGAUGACGUCAAAUCAUCAUGCCCCUUAUGACCUGGGCUACACACGUGCUACAAUGGGCGGUACAAAGGGUCGCGAACCCGCGAGGGGGAGCCAAUCCCAAAAAGCCGCUCUCAGUUCGGAUUGCAGGCUGCAACUCGCCUGCAUGAAGCCGGAAUCGCUAGUAAUCGCGGAUCAGCAUGCCGCGGUGAAUACGUUCCCGGGCCUU
rnacentral:rRNA from 1 species